GCCGCACGCAAAGUCGUAGAAGUCAUCGCAAGGGUCCACUUUGUCGUCCAUAUUUUGCAGCAGUUUUGAUGCUACAAAGUUAAAGCGCAAGAUUAUAAAAACAAAAAAGAUGAAGCUGUCUAUGAAAUUGUAUAUUAAUAAUUAACACACACACCAAUAACAAAAAUUACCUGUAUGAACACAUCCAGCGGUAUUGCAUACCCUUAUACUGUUCUGAUCUGAUCCCUUCGCGAUGACAGCAGGUGGCAUGGAUGAUGAAACCUUGAGUUCGCUUGUCUGUGGCAUGUCUAAAAUGGAUGAAACACAUGCUCGGCUUAUGCUUUUCUGGAGCGGGAUAUCUCGAUAUUGUUAAGAGUAGGUACUCCAUGAAAGGUUAUUGUUGUAACGAUUGAAUACCUAAUAUAGAUAUUAGAAAAUCCUAUAGUGAAUGGAGAAAUAUACAAGCACAGUGUAACAAGACUUUAAGUUCCAUUGAAGAUCGCCAUUUAAUUUCAAGAAAUCGGUCCCCACCGUUCACGCCGAUUGGUUAUUGCACCGAUGUGUAAAUUUCAAUCAUAUUCCCUAAUGCCACCACGUUCUUAGGAGUAAAUAAGUAUUGAAGAAAUACGCAUGGGCGAAUCAAGGUCAACGAGGAUCAAUAACUUAAUAGAUAUCAACUUAGGUGUUGCAGAUAAUUAAGAAGGUACUAUAGUUAAGUUUAAUUUAAUAAUCUCAUUAAAAUGUUUAAGCAACUAAGGAUACAUGAAUGUACGUCUGAAGAUAAAAUAUGCAGGCAUAGACCCAAUCUGAUCACAGUGCAAGUAAUAAUGCAACCCUCAAGAAAACCUUUAUGGUACUUCUUCACUUGUGCCAUGUUCCCGUACCACAUGAACACUGUUCGCGUAUUGCAGUCACGCUGUGUUGGCCGACAUUUGGUGAUCGUUACGUAAACCGCUUCAGAGCUCGUGAAGCGGUUUCGAUUAGAAAAUGGCAAAGUGCAAGUUCAGUUAAUUUAUCAACACAGUCACCGGUGUUAAGUUUGUAUCGUUCAGAUCGAGAGAGAAUUCAGAAAUCUAAAGCAUUCCAACACUUCGAGUAACAAUGUUUGAAUGUGCGGUCGAGAUGGGACAUAACCGCGAAUCGCAUGCCAUUCGAUCAGGAACGGACUGUGAAUUCGGAAGCUUUUGGGCUAAAAUUAGGUAUAAUACUUCCCUUGAUAUGAAUCCAAUAAAGUUGAAACCAAAGUCAGUAUGAUUUUGAAAUUAUCAUUCAACAUUAUCCUCAAAAUAGUUGAAGGUCGCUGUUAAAUCCGUGGGUCCGAUAUAGCCUCUGAAUUGAAAAGGAAGGUACGUACUGACACAAUUCAGCGUUGCGAAACUACGGUGCACAGCUAUAAAACAAUGCCUGGUUUACUCUAUAACUGAUAGUUAUACAGCGAGGUUAACAUUUAAGUAGGUACAUAAUCAUGGUUGAUUUUCAAAGACAUCGAUGAGAAGCCCUGAGUCUCAGAAAUCAGUAUUGUAUAGAAUAAUUUAAAUAAAGGAUUCUUAUUCUAAUUAGGUACUACAAUCGUUAAAAAAAUACAUUGGAGUUACAUAUUUUUUGUUUAAGGUGAGAACAUGGAAACUCGCGAACACGAAAUGAACCUUUCGUUGAGAAUGAGUAUAAAGUGAUGCCAAAUUGAUGUAAUGACAUGAUUUAGACUUUCUUCGUGCUUAUUGCUCCAUGUAAAAUUAUGUAAUUUGAAAAGCAUGUAAACAAUAUAUUUUGUAAUGAAAGCGGCAUUCUGUAUAUUCCACAUUUUAAUUCGAUUAUGCCAAGCAGCAUCCAAACAAAAGCUCUUGAACGCAAUAUUUCAUUCAUAUGGAUGAAUCUGAUAAAAAAUGGGUUUACCAUACACAAUGUUAUAUAUUUCAAACAGAAAAUAAAUGGCUUAUUUUCCUUAGUUUAAAAAAAGCUGCUGAAAAACAUACGUAACUUGCUUCAUAAUCCAUAAGAAAAUAUUUAAGUGAUUUAUUUUUGGAAAUAAAAAUAUAUUGGAUUAAUUUGGACUUGCCAUG